GCACUUGGCUGGUGCUAUACAUGCAAGUCGAACGAACUCUGGUAUUGAUUGGUGCUUGCAUCAUGAUUUACAUUUGAGUGAGUGGCGAACUGGUGAGUAACACGUGGGAAACCUGCCCAGAAGCGGGGGAUAACACCUGGAAACAGAUGCUAAUACCGCAUAACAACUUGGACCGCAUGGUCCGAGUUUGAAAGAUGGCUUCGGCUAUCACUUUUGGAUGGUCCCGCGGCGUAUUAGCUAGAUGGUGGGGUAACGGCUCACCAUGGCAAUGAUACGUAGCCGACCUGAGAGGGUAAUCGGCCACAUUGGGACUGAGACACGGCCCAAACUCCUACGGGAGGCAGCAGUAGGGAAUCUUCCACAAUGGACGAAAGUCUGAUGGAGCAACGCCGCGUGAGUGAAGAAGGGUUUCGGCUCGUAAAACUCUGUUGUUAAAGAAGAACAUAUCUGAGAGUAACUGUUCAGGUAUUGACGGUAUUUAACCAGAAAGCCACGGCUAACUACGUGCCAGCAGCCGCGGUAAUACGUAGGUGGCAAGCGUUGUCCGGAUUUAUUGGGCGUAAAGCGAGCGCAGGCGGUUUUUUAAGUCUGAUGUGAAAGCCUUCGGCUCAACCGAAGAAGUGCAUCGGAAACUGGGAAACUUGAGUGCAGAAGAGGACAGUGGAACUCCAUGUGUAGCGGUGAAAUGCGUAGAUAUAUGGAAGAACACCAGUGGCGAAGGCGGCUGUCUGGUCUGUAACUGACGCUGAGGCUCGAAAGUAUGGGUAGCAAACAGGAUUAGAUACCCUGGUAGUCCAUACCGUAAACGAUGAAUGCUAAGUGUUGGAGGGUUUCCGCCCUUCAGUGCUGCAGCUAACGCAUUAAGCAUUCCGCCUGGGGAGUACGGCCGCAAGGCUGAAACUCAAAGGAAUUGACGGGGGCCCGCACAAGCGGUGGAGCAUGUGGUUUAAUUCGAAGCUACGCGAAGAACCUUACCAGGUCUUGACAUACUAUGCAAAUCUAAGAGAUUAGACGUUCCCUUCGGGGACAUGGAUACAGGUGGUGCAUGGUUGUCGUCAGCUCGUGUCGUGAGAUGUUGGGUUAAGUCCCGCAACGAGCGCAACCCUUAUUAUCAGUUGCCAGCAUUAAGUUGGGCACUCUGGUGAGACUGCCGGUGACAAACCGGAGGAAGGUGGGGAUGACGUCAAAUCAUCAUGCCCCUUAUGACCUGGGCUACACACGUGCUACAAUGGAUGGUACAACGAGUUGCGAACUCGCGAGAGUAAGCUAAUCUCUUAAAGCCAUUCUCAGUUCGGAUUGUAGGCUGCAACUCGCCUACAUGAAGUCGGAAUCGCUAGUAAUCGCGGAUCAGCAUGCCGCGGUGAAUACGUUCCCGGGCCUUGUACACACCGCCCGUCACACCAUGAGAGUUUGUAACACCCAAAGUCGGUGGGGUAACCUUUUAGGAACCAGCCGCCUAAGGUGACAGA
rnacentral:rRNA from 1 species